rnacentral:rRNA from 1 species
UACGAGGGGAGCAAGCGUUGUUCGGAUUUACUGGGCGUAAAGGGCGCGUAGGCGGUCGUGACAAGUCACUUGUGAAAUCUCCGGGCUUAACUCGGAACGGUCAAGUGAUACUGUCGGACUAGAGUACAGAAGGGGCAACUGGAAUUCUCGGUGUAGCGGUGAAAUGCGCAGAUAUCGGGAGGAACACCGGUGGCGAAGGCGGUUCUCUGGGCCUGUACUGACGCUGAGGAGCGAAAGCGUGGGGAGCGAACAGG